GAACUACACAGAAGAUUGGCAGCUCAUAUACUAAAAUUGGAACAGUACAGAGAUUAGCAUGGCCCCAGUGCAAGGAUGACACACACAUUCAUGAAGUGUUCCAUAUUUUU